GUGAGUCGGCCCCUAAGGCGAGACCGAAAGGUGUAGUCGAUGGGAAACGGGUUAAUAUUCCCGUACUUAUAUAAUCAGUGAUGGAGGGACGGAGAAGGCUAGGCAAGCUUGGCGUUGGUUGUCCAAGUGAAAGUGAGUAGGCUGAAGACUUAGGUAAAUCCGGGUUUUCAAGGCCGAGACACGAGACGAGCUCCCAAGGGAGUGAAGUUGUUGAUGCCCUGCUUCCAGGAAAAGCUUCUAAACUUAUGAUUAUAUGAACCGUACCCCAAACCGACACAGGUGGUCAGGUAGAGAAUACUAAGGCGCUUGAGAGAACUCGGGUGAAGGAACUCGGCAAAAUUGUACCGUAACUUCGGGAGAAGGUACGCUGCUGUUUGUGAUGGGAUUUACUCCCUAAGCAGAUGGCAGCCGCAGUGACCAGGUGGCUGGGACUGUUUAUUAAAAACACAGCA
rnacentral:rRNA from 1 species